CAGCCGCCGCGGGAAUACGUAGGUGGCAAGCGUUGUCCAGAUUUAUUGGGCGUAAAGCGAGCGCAGGCGGUCAAUUAAGUCUGAUGUGAAAGCCCCCGGCUCAACCGGGGAGGGUCAUUGGAAACUGGUUGACUUGAGUGCAGAAGAGGAGAGUGGAAUUCCAUGUGUAGCGGUGAAAUGCGUAGAUAUAUGGAGGAACACCAGUGGCGAAGGCGACUCUCUGGUCUGUAACUGACGCUGAGGAGCGAAAGCGUGGGGGGCGAACAGGAUUAGAUACCCCUGUAGUCCCUGUCUCUUAUAC
rnacentral:rRNA from 1 species